rnacentral:lncRNA from 1 species
AUGGUGAAGAGAUAUGCUUGCCAGAGGCUGGACGAAGAUAAACAUAUUCUUCUAUAUAAGACUAAUUUAGCCAGCAGAUCUCCAGAUGGGGUGCUUAAGUUUGGAGACCACCUUUUUUCUGCCAUACUUGCAAGGAUCCUGUCAGCAGCCUCAAGUGUUAGGGCUACAAAUGGACAUUCUAAAUCCAGGGCAUUUUCAAACUCAACUAUUGAGAAACUGGUACUUGCCCCUGGGAUAUUAAGAAGGUAAGAGCCUUAUUAUCAUUAAUGACUUUGGACUGACUGAUAAAGUAGGAUGCCUGCUGCAAAUGAGGGGUAGAGUGUUUAGCAGCUUUCUGGAGAAUGGUAGAAGCUGGGAAGAACACAGAAGGAAAAUUGAUCAAGUUAAACCAGGAAUUGGAAAAAGAAUUAUCAAACAGUGUUGAGGCCUGAAUAAGGUUGGAAAGUGUUCGGAAUUGAUUCCCACCUGGAAGGAGCCAAGAAGGAGUUCCUGGUUAGGUAGUAACUUUGGGGUAGGUAACUGGGACAGGAUACUUUUCAGGGGGUGCUAUUGUAUUGGUGUGCAGGAAUCAAAGGUGACUAAGAGUUAUCCUCAAGGAGCAAAUAGUGCUGUAUUUUGCGCUAAACGAGCAUCAUCAAAAAACCAAGACAAGUACAAGUAACUACAGUUCAAAACGCAGUUCACAUCCAAGUGGCUAGGGGAGAGAAGGAAUCUGCAUGAGGAGCCAAGGUUAUUAACCAACACAAAUCAUCAGGAAGAAGGAUGAGGGAGGGGUUAUAAAGAGAUGGGGCAGGAAUGGCUCCAGAGCUGACAAGUGGACAGCUGUUGUUGUUUAUUCAUUGACAGCAAUCUUGGAAGUUAAGAGCAACUGGGGAAAAAACAUGUGCUAGGAGUUUGCAGAAGCCAGUCAACAUGGCUAUCUGGCUUCUUUUAGAAAUGGUCUACAGUCUCAGGGUAGAAGAAACAGAAGAGAAUAAUGAAGAAUUUUAGGCUUUGCAAUUGAUUAAAAAAAUUAGGGCACUAGAACAACCAUGGUUGAUAAAAUGAGGUUCUGACUUUUCUAAUGAGAUACUACCUUCCUCUCAUUUGGAAUCAACCCUCCAAAAAUCACAUUUGAAAUAAUUUGACCCUUGUCUCUGUUUCUGUUUCAAAUUUUCGUUUCUUUCUCUAUGCUGUAAAGGAAGUUUGAAGCAUUAACUUUUCAUUUAGCUUUACAAUGUAAUAUGGCUCUGUGAAAAGAUUAAAGAUAUGGUAUGUAUGAGAAAUAUACCUUCCACAUUAUUCAUGUAAUAGUCAUGAACUAGAAAAAACCUUACAUUCUUGAUACUUGAAGAGUUGUAUGACUCUAGCAAAAAGGACUGGUCAAUCCAUUUUGAUGCCUGCUCAGUGACAUCCCUGGGGGGUGCAGGAGUGAGAACCUGGAUCCCCAAACUUAUCACCAUUAUGGUAUUAAGAUGAACCAUAGCAAAUCAUAUUUUAUGGUUUCAUGUUCAAUUCAGCCACAGCAUAUAGCCAUGGAUUAUUUUAAGUAAAAAUAAAGAAAACAUAUGGAAAAUUUCUAGUCCA